rnacentral:rRNA from 1 species
AGCAGCCGCGGUAAUUCCAGCUCCAAUAGCGUAUAUUAAAGUUGUUGCAGUUAAAAAGCUCGUAGUUGAACUUCGGGAUCAAUGGAUUGGUCAUGCCGAUGGUGUGUACUGGUCAUAUUGGUUCUCACCUUCUAAGGAACCAUAAUGUCAUUUAUUUGAUGUUGUGGGGAAUUAGGACUGUUACCUUGAAAAAAUUAGAGUGUUUAAAGCAGGCUAACGCUUGAAUACAUUAGCAUGGAAUAAUGAAAUAGGACAUCGCAUUCUAUUUUGUUGGUUUCUAGGAUCGAUGUAAUGAUUAAUAGGGAUAGUUGGGGGCAUUAGUAUUCAAUUGUCAGAGGUGAAAUUCUUGGAUUUAUUGAAGACUAACUACUGCGAAAGCAUUUGCCAAGGAUGUUUUCAUUAAUCAAGAACGAAAGUUAGGGGAUCGAAGACGAUCCAGGUACCGUCGUAGUCUUAACCAUAAACUAUGCCGACUAGGGGUCGGAUGAUGUUGAUUUUUAAUGUACU